UAUCAAUAAGCGGAGGAAAAGAAACCAACCGGGAUUGCCUCAGUAACGGCGAGUGAAGCGGCAAAAGCUCAAAUUUGAAAUCUGCGUAAGCCGAGUUGUAAUUUGAAGAUGGCUACUUUGGUAAUGGCUCUUGUCUAUGUUCCUUGGAACAGGACGUCACAGAGGGUGAGAAUCCCGUGCGAUGAGAUGUCCAUUACCGUGUAAAGUGCUUUCGAAGAGUCGAGUUGUUUGGGAAUGCAGCUCUAAGUGGGUGGUAAAUUCCAUCUAAAGCUAAAUAUUGGCGAGAGACCGAUAGCGAACAAGUACAGUGAUGGAAAGAUGAAAAGAACUUUGAAAAGAGAGUGAAAAAGUACGUGAAAUUGUUGAAAGGGAAGGGCUUGAGAUCAGACUUGGUAUUUUGUAUGGCUUGCUUUCGGGCGGGUCCUCUGCAGUUUACUGGGCCAGCAUCGGUUUGGGUGGCAGGAUAAUAGCGAAGGAAUGUGGCUCUACUUCGGUGGAGUGUUAUAGCCUUUGUUGAUACUGCCUGCCUAGACCGAGGACUGCGUCUUUUGACUAGGAUGCUGGCAUAAUGAUCCUAAGCCGCCCGUC
rnacentral:rRNA from 1 species